GUGUUUUUUUUUUAUUGCGACGUCUGAAUCUGACCACGCCUACUGUUUUGUUUUGCAGGGUUAACUGAAACUAUGAUCGAUUGACAUGGCGUCUGUUAUUGGUGUUGCUGCUUCAUUUGCUCCAACUAUAUAUGUAAAAACAAAAUCAUUUUAUAUGGAUCAUGAGAACAGUGAGAUGUAAUUGAUAUUAACAUCAGAUGAUGUGACAAUGCAAGUUUGUCUUGCACCAAGAUGAGAUUUCGUCAAUCCAUUUUGAUAAAGAACGUAGCUCAAGUGACAGGUAUUGUCGAUGAUGCGGCUGUUGCACCUUCCCUACCCGGUUACUGGGAAUGCCAGUUUGACGUAUCCCAUUUAAUAUCUUCGCAUCCGAAAAUCAAUAAACUCGACUCCGCAUUGUUCACAAAAUUUCGGAUCUUCUUUUUCAUCUCCGAUUACUCGAUAAUUUCCACAGGCACAAAAUAUCAACGGUUAACUUCAGUUGGGCAUGGCAUCAUGCCAACAAGGUAUUGUCGAUGAUGCGGAUGUUGCACCUUCCUAGCCGGCGUCAAGCAAUAUCAAGGGGAGGCAGAUUAUAUUUGAUGCUAUUUUUUUCUCUUAGUGAUGCAGAUUGCAGACAAUGAAUAUCACUGUUUCUUGGUUUUGGUAUUUUUAUGAUGUUCCUUUUUGAUUUUCU